rnacentral:misc_RNA from 1 species
UGCAUUUAGACUAUUCUGGAAUACGUGGUCGACGGAGGAGUUCUACUUCAGGAGAUAUGGAUUACGCUCACACAGAUGCAUGGGCUGCUGCAUACAGUGCUGUUGCAGCAGGUGCGGCUCUGGUUGCUGGGUUAGGUGUACUAGCAUACUUACGAAGAUCUGGUUACUGAUGCUUGAAUUUUUCUUUUUGGAAAAAAAAAAA